rnacentral:ncRNA from 1 species
CUAAACAUCUUGAAGAGCUGAGUAGCGAGAAUUUUAUUUUUAAAGAGAGCUAACGUUGUGGUGAAAGUUAGCAAAUAAAACCUGGUGAAUAUGGGCUUGGAACGAUGACUGAUGGUGACAUUUAGCUAUCAGCGGAGUUGUAUCCGUUAACAAUGCAGGCUAUUAUUUGAUAGCUAAUGAGGUUUAUUACGUAAGUGAUAAAUGAAUUAAAGGUGGUAACGCGAGCAUUCGUCCUUUUG